AUUGAACGCUGGCGGCAUGCCUUACACAUGCAAGUCGAACGGCAGCACGGGAGCUUGCUCCUGGUGCGAGUGGCGAACGGGUGAGUAAUACAUCGGAACGUACCCCUGAAGUGGGGGAUAACGUAGCGAAAGUUACGCUAAUACCGCAUAUUCUGUGAGCAGGAAAGAGGGGGAUCGCAAGACCUCUUGCUUUAGGAGCGGCCGAUGUCGGAUUAGCUAGUUGGUGAGGUAAAGGCUCACCAAGGCGACGAUCCGUAGCGGGUCUGAGAGGAUGAUCCGCCACACUGGGACUGAGACACGGCCCAGACUCCUACGGGAGGCAGCAGUGGGGAAUUUUGGACAAUGGGCGCAAGCCUGAUCCAGCCAUGCCGCGUGAGUGAAGAAGGCCU
rnacentral:rRNA from 1 species